GAAAUUACUCCCCGGUGUGAUCUUAUUGUCAGAGCAGAGUAACAGAGUUUUCUUUCUUCUUCAUUUGGCUCAGAAGAAUCAGUUAACAGAUCUCCUGAGCAUAAGGUCAUGUGUUAUAGGGGGCAGGAAAAAAGCGGCGAGCUGGAGGUAAAGGACAGGUGAAAGAAAAAGAAGAUGCUGUUUCUUGCGCCAAAAAUCUCUUUGCUUGCUUCCAGCAACAACUGAUACCAUCAUCACAUUUGAAUAAUUAAGGUGUGCAGUCG
rnacentral:lncRNA from 1 species